rnacentral:rRNA from 1 species
GACGAACGCUGGCGGCGUGCUUAACACAUGCAAGUCGAACGAAGUGGCGAACGGGUGAGUAACGCGUAAUCAACCUGCCCUUCAGAGGGGGACAACAGUUGGAAACGACUGCUAAUACCGCAUACUGAAGGAGGGGAUUGCGUCUGAUUAGCUAGGUGGGGGGGUAACGGCCCACCAAGGCGAUGAGCAGUAGCCGGUCUGAGGGGAAGAAGGGCCAAAGUGGGGCUGGGAAACGGCCCAGACUCCUACGGGAGGCCGCCGUGGGGAAUCUUCCGCAAUGGAGGAAAGUCUGACGGAGCAAAGCCGGGGGAGUGAUGACGGCCUUCGGGUUGUAAAGGUCUGUUAAUCGGGACGCGGUACCGGAAUAGAAAGCCACGGCUAACUACGUGCCAGCAGCCGCGGUAAUAC